rnacentral:rRNA from 1 species
GGUUAAGCGACUAAGCGUACACGGUGGAUGCCCUGGCAGUCAGAGGCGAUGAAGGACGUGCUAAUCUGCGAAAAGCGCCGGCGAGGUGAUAUGAACCCUUGACCCGGCGAUGUCCGAAUGGGGAAACCCAGUGUGAUUCGUCACACUAUCGUUAACUGAAUACAUAGGUUAACGAGGCGAACCGGGGGAACUGAAACAUCUAAGUACCCCGAGGAAAAGAAAUCAACCGAGAUUCCCCCAGUAGCGGCGAGCGAACGGGGAGCAGCCCGGAGUCUGAAUCAGCUUGUGUGUUAGUGGAACGGUCUGGAAAGUCCGACGGUACAGGGUGAUAGUCCCGUACACGAAAGCACACUUGCUGUGAACUCGAAGAGUAGGGCGGGACACGUGGUAUCCUGUCUGAAUAUGGGGGGACCAUCCUCCAAGGCUAAAUACUCCUGACUGACCGAUAGUGAACCAGUACCGUGAGGGAAAGGCGAAAAGAACCCCGGCGAGGGGAGUGAAAAAGAACCUGAAACCGUGUACGUACAAGCAGUGGGAGCACCUUCGUGGUGUGACUGCGUACCUUUUGUAUAAUGGGUCAGCGACUUAUAUUCUGUAGCAAGGUUAACCGUAUAGGGGAGCCGAAGGGAAACCGAGUCUUAACUGGGCGUUAAGUUGCAGGGUAUAGACCCGAAACCCGGUGAUCUAGCCAUGGGCAGGUUGAAGGUUGGGUAACACUAACUGGAGGACCGAACCGACUAAUGUUGAAAAAUUAGCGGAUGACCUGUGGCUGGGGGUGAAAGGCCAAUCAAACCGGGAGAUAGCUGGUUCUCCCCGAAAGCUAUUUAGGUAGCGCCUCGUGAACUCAUCUUCGGGGGUAGAGCACUGUUUCGGCUAGGGGGCCAUCCCGGCUUACCAACCCGAUGCAAACUACGAAUACCGAAGAAUGUUAUCACGGGAGACACACGGCGGGUGCUAACGUCCGUCGUGAAGAGGGAAACAACCCAGACCGCCAGCUAAGGUCCCAAAGUCAUGGUUAAGUGGGAAACGAUGUGGGAAGGCACAGACAGCCAGGAUGUUGGCUUAGAAGCAGCCAUCAUUUAAAGAAAGCGUAAUAGCUCACUGGUCGAGUCGGCCUGCGCGGAAGAUGUAACGGGGCUAAACCAUGCACCGAAGCUGCGGCAGCGACACUAUGUGUUGUUGGGUAGGGGAGCGUUCUGUAAGCCGUUGAAGGUGUGCUGUGAGGCAUGCUGGAGGUAUCAGAAGUGCGAAUGCUGACAUAAGUAACGAUAAAGCGGGUGAAAAGCCCGCUCGCCGGAAGACCAAGGGUUCCUGUCCAACGUUAAUCGGGGCAGGGUGAGUCGACCCCUAAGGCGAGGCCGAAAGGCGUAGUCGAUGGGAAACAGGUUAAUAUUCCUGUACUUGGUGUUACUGCGAAGGGGGGACGGAGAAGGCUAUGUCAGCCGGGCGACGGUUGUCCCGGUUUAAGCAUGUAGGCGGAGGUUCCAGGUAAAUCCGGUACCUUAUUAACGCUGAGGUGUGAUGACGAGGCACUACGGUGCUGAAGUGAUAAAUGCCCUGCUUCCAGGAAAAGCCUCUAAGCAUCAGGUAACACGAAAUCGUACCCCAAACCGACACAGGUGGUCAGGUAGAGAAUACCAAGGCGCUUGAGAGAACUCGGGUGAAGGAACUAGGCAAAAUGGUGCCGUAACUUCGGGAGAAGGCACGCUGAUGUGUAGGUGAAGCCCCUGCGGGCGGAGCUGAAAUCAGUCGAAGAUACCAGCUGGCUGCAACUGUUUAUUAAAAACACAGCACUGUGCAAACACGAAAGUGGACGUAUACGGUGUGACGCCUGCCCGGUGCCGGAAGGUUAAUUGAUGGGGUUAGCUGUAAGGCGAAGCUCUUGAUCGAAGCCCCGGUAAACGGCGGCCGUAACUAUAACGGUCCUAAGGUAGCGAAAUUCCUUGUCGGGUAAGUUCCGACCUGCACGAAUGGCGUAAUGAUGGCCAGGCUGUCUCCACCCGAGACUCAGUGAAAUUGAACUCGCUGUGAAGAUGCAGUGUACCCGCGGCAAGACGGAAAGACCCCGUGAACCUUUACUAUAGCUUGACACUGAACACUGGUCCUUGAUGUGUAGGAUAGGUGGGAGGCUUUGAAGCGUGGACGCCAGUCUGCGUGGAGCCGCCCUUGAAAUACCACCCUUUAAUGGCUGGUGUUCUAACGUAGACCCGUAAUCCGGGUUGCGGACAGUGUCUGGUGGGUAGUUUGACUGGGGCGGUCUCCUCCCAAAGAGUAACGGAGGAGCACGAAGGUUGGCUAAUCCUGGUCGGACAUCAGGAGGUUAGUGCAAUGGCAUAAGCCAGCUUGACUGCGAGCGUGACGGCGCGAGCAGGUGCGAAAGCAGGUCAUAGUGAUCCGGUGGUUCUGAAUGGAAGGGCCAUCGCUCAACGGAUAAAAGGUACUCCGGGGAUAACAGGCUGAUACCGCCCAAGAGUUCAUAUCGACGGCGGUGUUUGGCACCUCGAUGUCGGCUCAUCACAUCCUGGGGCUGAAGUAGGUCCCAAGGGUAUGGCUGUUCGCCAUUUAAAGUGGUACGCGAGCUGGGUUUAGAACGUCGUGAGACAGUUCGGUCCCUAUCUGCCGUGGGCGCUGGAGAAUUGAGGGGGGCUGCUCCUAGUACGAGAGGACCGGAGUGGACGCAUCACUGGUGUUCGGGUUGUCAUGCCAAUGGCACUGCCCGGUAGCUAAAUGCGGAAGAGAUAAGUGCUGAAAGCAUCUAAGCACGAAACUUGCCCCGAGAUGAGUUCUCCCUGAGACUUUAAGUCUCCUGAAGGAACGUU